ensembl:lncRNA
CACACACACACACACACACACACACACACACAGGUAGCUCACUGUGUACCCGCCACGGAGAGGUAGAUCUUUUAUUUAGCCAUUUCAGCAGGCGGCUCCUGGCCAUGAAUUAUGCAAGCGCCUGGCCCCUGGAACAAGCUCCAGCUCAACUGUACACCUUGUGUGUGCCUUCAAAUAUAGAUAAAAGCUCAACAGUGAGCUACAAACGUAGUUUCUCUUUUCUUUUUGCUUUUUUUUACUCUUUUUCUUUUCUUUAGUUUUUUUUUCUCCUCACAAACCAAGACAGAAAAAUCCAGAGUAAGGAGCAGGAGAAAGAGAGAGCCAGAGAGAGAGAGAGAGAGAAAGAGAGAAAGAAAGAGAGAAAGAGAGUCCAUGGCAAUUAAGAGGAGGUAGCAACCAUGGGACUGGUCUCCCUGUUCCACCCUACGUGUCUGGCCAGGGAAGGAGGCAAGGCACUACGCUGAUGGACUGAAUCAAACCAACAGCAAGUACUGCCUUGUGUGUGGUGGGGCAUCAUGGCAUUAUUGUCUGCACUGCUCGGGAUGGGGUCACGGUGACCAUAUCCAGUGAGGUUGUGUUUAAAGAAUCAAGGCUAAAAUGUGCACAGUGCAAGGUUUAACAAUUUGCUAAAUUAGGAAAAUAUUUUAAUCCAGAUUAUAAUUUACACAGAAUAACAAGACGUUUUGUUGAAUGAUGUUAAUGACGAGUUAAUGAUGGGCAUAACAUGACAACCAACAAGGCUGUCAUUAUUGACUUUACUUCACUGAAUAGCACUGGACAAAUUAUUGAUUUUUUAAAAAAAUUUUAAGCAGGACAUUUCAGGGGGCCGAGAAACAACUAGCUGAGGCACUGUUGUCUGGCAGCCUAAAGCGAACCCAAUAGCUCAUCACACAGUUCAUUACAUUGUUGAUAGAAACUAGCUUCUUUUGUGUGGCUACUUGCAUCUAUGCGUCGCGUCAAGACUUCUGACUGCUAACAUUGUACCUCGUUCGACUGCCUUAGAUCAAAGGACAUCCCCACAACGUUUAUAAGGCAACAAACAAACCUGCUUUUGAGGUUAAUGCCCCAAAAAAGCUUGAUUUCACAACGUCCCUGAGCACUGACAGA